GGGGAAUAUUGGACAAUGGGCGAAAGCCUGAUCCAGCCAUGCCGCGUGAGUGAUGAAGGCCCUAGGGUUGUAAAGCUCUUUCAACGGUGAAGAUAAUGACGGUAACCGUAGAAGAAGCCCCGGCUAACUUCGUGCCAGCAGCCGCGGUAAUACGAAGGGGGCUAGCGUUGUUCGGAAUUACUGGGCGUAAAGCGCACGUAGGCGGAUUGUUAAGUGAGGGGUGAAAUCCCAGGGCUCAACCCUGGAACUGCCUUUCAUACUGGCAAUCUAGAGUCCGGAAGAGGUGAGUGGAAUUCCGAGUGUAGAGGUGAAAUUCGUAGAUAUUCGGAGGAACACCAGUGGCGAAGGCGGCUCACUGGUCCGGUACUGACGCUGAGGUGCGAAAGCGUGGGGAGCAAAC
rnacentral:rRNA from 1 species